rnacentral:ncRNA from 1 species
GUUUCAGGGCGAGGUGAAAGUCCUCACCGGCGGUAUAGUCCGCGAACGCACCCGGGCUGAGAGAGCUUCGGUGCGCCGAUCAGGUGUAAUUCCUGAACCGACGGUUAUAGUCCGGAUGGAAGAAA